GGGAAUCUUCCGCAAUGGGCGCAAGCCUGAUGGAGCAACGCCGCGUGAGUGAAGAAGGUCUUCGGAUUGUAAAGCUCUGUCCUUAGGGAAGAACCGUGGGUAUAGUUAAUGAUACCCAUCUGACGGUACCUUUGGAGGAAGCACUGGCUAACUACGUGCCAGCAGCCGCGGUAAUACGUAGAGUGCAAGCGUUGUCCGGAAUUAUUGGGCGUAAAGGGUACGCAGGCGGAUAAUCAAGUCAAGCAUGAAAGGUGUCGGCUUAACCGACAGACUGCGUUUGAAACUGAUUAUCUUGAGUGUAACAGAGGAGAGUGGAAUUCCUAGUGUAGUGGUGAAAUACGUAGAUAUUAGGAAGAACACCAGUGGCGAAGGCGACUCUCUGGGUUAACACUGACGCUGAGGUACGAAAGCUGGGGGAGCGAAAGGGAUUAGAUACCCCUGUAGUC
rnacentral:rRNA from 1 species